rnacentral:lncRNA from 1 species
AUGUAACGGGCAUGGUGUGCUUGUCUGAUGGACAGGGCAGCUUAGGGGAAUAAGUCUCUGCAGCGUUGUAGUGAAGAGAGAAUACGGGACAACUGCAGGACCACAGCUCAGCCAAGAGCUCCCUUGCAGCUGAGUUGGCCAUAUGACUGACAGCAAGCCCUGGAAUGCAGCCAGAAGUGAUAGAAGCCUCUUUCACACCAUGCUCCUAAAAUAUUCCAAGAAAUUUUCCAAACCUACUCUUUUUAGUCUGUGCAUCUGGAAGUGAAAGUUUUAGAAAGGGUAAAGUCACUUAAUGGAAAGGGCCCAGAUCUAGCCCCUCGGAGCCAAGCUGUCCAACUAGAAAUUCUGCAUUAGUAUUUGCGACCCCAGUAAAAAAAAAAAAGUCCCACAAAGAUGUAGGAUCUCACUUUGCCUGCGUUAAUUCCCUGUCCUUUGCCCAGUUUCUCCUCUCUUGGAAGGCAGAGGCAGCUUCUGAUUUUGAUCACUUCAUGUCCAGCAGAUCUUUGGAGAGAAAAUGCCAAGAGUGGAUGGAGAGGCAAUGGUGAAGCUGAGGCUGAAGUCGGAGGAAGCUGUGAACCCUGCAUGGGGUACCUGAACACCAGGGCAAGUUUCUGGCCCAGAAUGGCUUCUGGGAAAGGGGCCCUCAACAGAUUGGAAGAUGCCCAGGCAGUUGGGGAUGGCAAUCUGCUUUCUCAAUCUACUGAUUCAAAUGCUAAUCUCAUCCAGAAACAUCCUCACAGACAUACCCAGAAAUGAUCUUUAAUCUGGGCCAGUGAAAUUGACAUAUGAAAUUUAACCAUUACAAUAUCUCACCAGUGUCCUCAUUAAUUGAUGAGUUAAAUAAAAUCUUUGACAUGUGUGCAUUUUA